ensembl:lncRNA
CACACACACACAAAUGGGUUAAAAUACAGUGCAUUUAAGACAAACUUGGCCUUCAAUUGGAAAUUAUUCAAUAGACCCAUACAUAUGUUUUUUUUUUUUUUAUCAGUCAGUGCCAGUUCACACAUUUUUUUGUAACACAGUACAUUUGUCUGCUUUCUAGUUGACUAGUUGACUCAUGCAUUCACUAAGGAAAUGCAGACAGUAAGGAGACGAAGGCAGACACCAAAGAAAAGCAGCUAAAUAUACUUUGUUAGUUUGAAAAUAUUUCAGACUAGAUGAAACCAAUCCAAGCCUCAACUGCACGUUGUGUAAGAGUAUGCUUUGAUAAAGCUUUCUUUGCUUUAAUGUGACUUAACGUAACAUUUUCAUAUUACGUCGUAUGAAGUGCGAAAAUAAAUAAAUAAAUCCCACUCUCACCUGCUCCUGAAGGAAUUCCUCCCAUAGUUAUAUUUGUUGUCCUUUAAAGCUAAAUAAAAUUUGAAUAAAACCCUUGCACUAUGGCAUAGUGAAUUGUGUCAAGAGAGAGUGCAUUCAUUGCUACAGUUUUCUACAUUCGCACUCAGCUUGUUUAGAGCCUGGAAGACGAUCCAGACUCAUUUUCAGCCGCUAUUGAGGCAAGAUUUGAAAAAGCCUGAAACAAACAACAUCCAAGAAAGGAUGGAUAUUGAUUUAUAUGAAAGGACGAAGGACAUGUUGAUGGACAUGAGCUUCCAUGCUGCACGCUCUCAGUUCCAGAAUCAACAAUUCUGCCACCAGAUCGUCAUUUUAGGAAUUAGUACAUCCUUAAAUAGUGUAAUAUGAUAUACAGGUUAGGGGGCACGGUGGCUUAGUGGUUAGCACGUUUGCCUCACAUUUCCAGCGCUGGGGGCUCGAAUCCCACCUCCAUCCUGUAUGCUCAGAGCCUGCACGUUCUCCUCGUACUCCAGGGGUUUCCUCCAGGUACUCUGGCUUCCUUCCCCAGUCCAAAGACAUGCACUGUAGGCUGAUUGGCAUUUCCAAAUUGUAUGUAGUGUGUGCGAUUGUGCCCAGCGAUGAGUUGGCACUCUGUGCAGGGUAUCACCCCCUCUUGUGCUCCGAGCUCCCUGGGAUAGGCUCCAGGCUCCCACGCAACCUUGUGUGCGAUAAGCAGUAUGUAAAUUGGAUGGAUGGAUGGAUAUAAAGAUCUAUUAUUCGUUUGUACUUUCAUUGUUAAUGGUAACAAAAGCAUUGAGCUUGACUCUGUAUGGCUGUUAACUGAAAUGCCUAAUUGAAAUUUGAGACUUUUCUGCUGUUGUUGAUCAGAAUGUAGGUAAUAAAAUAAAAUGUCUUAAAUCCUGAGUCCUGAAGUUUUAGAUUUGACUAUGGAAAAGAUGACUAGUAAAAAAAAAAACAUUUAUUGAAUUACUCAGCGACUAGAAUGAAUAGUGAAUAGAGUUGCGACCCUUAGUGUCUAUGGUGGAAACGACUUUGUGCCUAGAUGAACCUUUUCUCUUCAGAUCUCCCAGUCUGGGUUCAGAGACACCACACAUGGCCAGCUUUUCAUCAAGCGCACCACACUUCGUCUGAGAGGAUUACAGAUGAGAGAUGUUAUUAUUCCUGUACUUGAACCAUCCCACCUGCCUUUCAAUCACUGCCUCUUGAAAUCUUUCCUUCUAUAUUGCUCAGGCAUUGCUUUGUUUAAAGAACAGACUCUUCAUUGAAAUAACUGAUUCCUAUUUCUGCUUUGUCAUUAGCACACAUGCUGAGAUGUGUGUUUCGGUGUCUUUUGUAUGGUUAUUUAUUGCUUUGUACCGUGGGAAGAAUUUUACAGAAAAGCAACAGUUUGCGGUUUUCUGUAAUUCUUUCGUCAUAGAGGAAUGUGUGAAGGGUACAGAAUAAAAUCAAGGCUUAAGGCUUUUCAGAUUUUCCUGAAGGUUAAUUGAAAUUAAUUUCUAUUCAGAGUGUACAGACGUAUAUAGAAAGUAUAAGAGGCAAAGCUAGGCAUAUGGUCAUACAUAUUUAAAUAUGCUUGAAGGAAUUAAAGUCCCAUCCGAUUAUUAAGUUGUUCAUUUUACAGCAUAUUAUUCAGUAAUCAAAAUGAAUUAUUCAGUAACUACAGUAAAACUAAUAAGAAAGGUUUGUCGUUAUGAGAGUCAGAACAGGCCCUGUGAGUUUAUGGGGAUGAUAGAUUUUUUUUUUUAGUUCAAAUAAAACUUUGUAAGCAUUUUCUGCAAUGGCUCAUUGUGCUUAUUCCCAACACACUGCUGCAGAAACGCUCUGAAGUAGUGAGUCGUUUCAUUUUUACGACAUGGGAUACAUAGCCGAUAAUUCGCUGUCAGUCUGGAACGCCGUCCUUUUUUAGAGAACCUGUCAGUUUCUGGCUAGAAGCCAUUUUGGAUUUGAUCCAUCUUUGUGAAGCUAUAAAUAACCAUCCAUAUUUGUGUACGAGUACUACUGAUAAUAAUCUGUGGGAGUUAGUGAGUGAUUGACCAUUUAGCUCUUGCAUAUUAGGUAUGCUGCAGUUGAUGGCAUAAGUCUAUAUGCCCUCAGGAUGAAAUGAAAAAGAUGAAUAAAUAUGGUGAAUAGAGUCAUUGUGUCUAUGUCAAUGCUUUUUUAAUAUUUAUUUUUUUGUUGUGGGCAGCAUUGAUUCAUUAGGCCAUAGAGCCGGUCCCAAGUUCAAACCUUAGCUUGGGUUACUGAAGUUUGGAGUUGGGGUUUCACAUCUUCUCCCUGUGUCUGAGUUUCCUCUGGUUUCCUCCCAUCUCCCAGGAACAUGACAGUAGGUGGACUGGCUACAAUACAUUGAACGAGUGUGUGAAUGUCAUGCUGUAACGGACUGCCAUCCUAUUCAGUGUGUACUCCCACCUUGCGCUCAGAGUUCAUGGGGUAGACUCUUUAUCCACCACAGCAUUGACCAGGAUAACGCAGUUACUAGGGGAAGACCAGACACUUGCGGAAAUCCAUACGUCAAUGUGCAAUCCCCUUGACCAAUCUGGCAUUGAAGUAUUUAGGCUGUUAAGAAGGAAAAAAAAAAAAAAAACCCAGCUGUGCUGUGACCCCAUUGCAUGCCACUCAGAUUAAACAAUUUUCUGGGCCACUGGACCUCAGAUCUGUAGCUCUGUCUGAGUCAGCCCAUCUUCAGAGGGUUAACCAGUGACUCCACUUCACUCACCGUGAUGUUGAAGUUGCUAACAAUGUGACCAAACUUAUUAUUAAUGACUGUCACGCCUGUCAGGGGCGGCGCAGGCUCAAAGUGCUAUUCAUCAUGGUCUUUCAGAACGUUAUUGUAUUUUCAGAGCUAUUGAACUGGGAAAGCUUAUUUGUUGAUUUUUUUUUUUAAAUCCAUUGUACAAUUUUAAUGUUUCAGUGUUUGAUUUCUGAUGAUAAUAAUAAUAUUAAUAAAGAUCCUCGGUUGCCUCAGGAGCAG